rnacentral:rRNA from 1 species
AUGCCAGCCCUCGAUGCCCACCAGAGCUCACAGCUCCAUGGGGCCACCAAGCACCACAUCGUCGAUGCACGCCGCCCGGUGCAGUCCCUCACUGGCACCAACAACCCCACCAUGGAGCCGCCGAGCACCAGCCCGCCGACGCGUCGCGCGCCACUCCGCCGCAGCCACCGAGGGCGGAGAAGCCAGAUCCGGGCAAUCGAACCGGAUCCGGGCGCUCUCCUCACAGACGCCACCCCGCAACCCCGUCGGCCGCCCACGCCUCCAGGAAGACGCAGCCGCCGCGCGCGCUAUACCGCGAAAGAGGAAAAACGCCCCGCCGCCACCCUCCCCGAGGCAUGCGUGGGCUUCACCGGCGGCCCCUCCAACGGCGGCAAUGCAGGGGAGCGGGGAGAGGAGGGCUUUGCGGCGGCGGCACUAGGUUCCCCCGUGUCGCCCGAGUUAGGCGGCACGGGGGGUCGGGUGUGUGUUGGAUAG